GAUGAACGCUGGCGGCGUGCCUAAUACAUGCAAGUCGAGCGAACGGACGAGAAGCUUGCUUCUCUGAUGUUAGCGGCGGACGGGUGAGUAACACGUGGAUAACCUACCUAUAAGACUGGGAUCACUUCGGGAAACCGGAGCUAAUACCGGAUAAUAUUUUGAACCGCAUGGUUCAAAAGUGAAAGACGGUCUUGCUGUCUCUUAUAGAUGGAUCCGCGCUGCAUUAGCUAGUUGGUACGGUAACGGCUUACCAAGGCAACGAUGCAUAGCCGACCUGAGAGGGUGGUCGGCCACACUGGAACUGAGACACGGUCCAGAGUCCUACGGGAGGCAGCAGUAGGGAAUCUUCCGCAAUGGGCGAAAGCCUGACGGAGCAACGCCGCGUGAGUGAUGAAGGUCUUCGGAUCGUAAAACUCUGUUAUUAGGGAAGAACAUAUGUGUAAGUAACUGUGCACAUCUUGACGGUACCUAAUCAGAAAGCCACGGCUAACUACGUG
rnacentral:rRNA from 1 species